rnacentral:rRNA from 1 species
AUGGCCGGCGGCGAUCAGCUUGCCGGGCUGGGAGACGACCCGCAGCAGAAACAGGCUUGCUUCAUGGAGGUCGCACACAUGCCGAUCUGGGUGCGCGUCCAUGACAUACCUCCGAUCAUGCUAGAUGAAGGUGUUGCAUGGAAGCUUGGGGCAGAGUUGGGAGAGGUGCUGGAGGUCGACACGGAUAGUAGAGGGAAGAUAUGGGGGGAUUUCAUUAGGAUUCACAUAAAUCAUGAUGUAGAUGAACCCCUUAGAGAUAGGAUAAAAUCUAGAGAUAUUCCUAGUGAAAAGGUGUUUUCCCUAGAGGUUAAGUAUGAGAGAGUGCCUCGAUUCUGUGGCUAUUGUGGUUAUCUUGGGCAUGGCCAACGCGACUGUAAGUUGCCGGAGGACCUCCAUGAGAUGAGGUUCACGGCAACAAUGCGAGCCUCCCCUUAUAAGAAAAGCAACAGUAGAGGGGGCUAUGUGGCUCCGGUGGCGAACAGCGCUCGCCGCCUUCUGAGUUUUGGGAGAGAAGUCCAGAGAGAGAGAAGCUCACACCGGAGCAGGACGAACCAAGAGAAGAUCCCCGAAGAGGUGCUGCUGAACCCACAAGUGCAGCCUGCCAUCGCCGCUGUUAGUGCACUCAAGGUCUCCGAUGAUGGUGGCUCAUCCAGAGUCCAGACACCUCCAAGGCCGACUAUGCUGCCAAAGUCCAAGGGGGGGAGGCCUAGUGAGGCCAAGCAAUCGGGUGCUGAUGGCGUCCUUACAGAGGAAGAGGGCAUAAAAUUGGCUCUGAGCCUGUCCCCUCCAUUUCAAGCGACAGACCCGGAACAGAUCGAUGGCGACACCGUAGCUGCUGCAAUGGAGGCCGCUCCUGGCCUUGCUGAGGGAAUUACGCCUGUGGCCAACCUCGACCCCGGUUUGGCUUAG